rnacentral:rRNA from 1 species
AACGAACGCUGGCGGCAGGCUUAACACAUGCAAGUCGAACGCACCUUUCGGGGUGAGUGGCUGACGGGUGAGUAACGCGUGGGAAUCUACCCUUCUCUACGGGAUAGCUCCGGGAAAUGGGAAGUAAUACCGUAUACGUCCGGAGGGGGAAAGAUUGAUCGGGGGAGGAUGGGCCCGCGUGGGAUUAGCUAGUUGGUGGGGUAAAGGCCUACCAAGGCGACGAUCCAUAGCUGGUCUAAGAGGAUGAUCAGCCACACUGGGACUGAGACACGGCCCAGACUCCUACGGGAGGCAGCAGUGGGGAAUAUUGGACGAUGGGCGCAAGCCUGAUCCAGCCAUGCCGCGUGAGUGAUGAAGGCCCUAGGGUUGUAAAGCUCUUUCAGUGGGGACGAUAAUGACGGUACCCACAGAAGAAGCCCCGGCUAACUUCGUG